ACCUGCUUCUCACUGUAAAAGUACCAUCUAGUGACUGUCUUCUAACAACCACUAUAGUUGUGCUUAAUCACGUAUUGAAAAAAUUCCCAUAUCUCUGAAAUGGCAAUGUUUUACAUUGCAGGAGCAAAAUACCAGAGGCACUGUAAAUAGACCACUUUAUUGAGAUGUGAGUACAGUACUGACAUCUGUAGAGGAUCCUGCAAGACUUAUUUAGAAGCUUAAUUCCCACAGCAGUUGAGUGGUAAUUGACAAAAAUGUGUUGGCAGAAUCUGUGCCUUUUGACAAGUUUUGUCAACUUCAGACUUCA